GACAGAGGUGCCGAGCGUUAGGCGGAAUCACUGGGCUUAAAGCGUGUGUAGGCGGACCGUUAAGUGCCUUGUGAAAUCCCACGGCUCAACCGUGGAACCGCUGGGCAGACUGGCGGUCUUGAGAGGCCGAGGGGCCAUCGGAACAAGCGGUGGAGCGGUGAAAUGCGUAGAUAUCGCUUGGAACGCCGGCGGCGAAAGCGGAUGGCUGGUGGCCUUCUGACGCUGAGACACGAAAGCCAGGGGAGCGAACGGG
rnacentral:rRNA from 1 species